rnacentral:lncRNA from 1 species
AUGGUUUCUUUUGGCGGUUUAUCGGAUCCAUUUGGCAGGUUUUUUCUUUAUAUUAAAGGUCUCGGGUUAUAUAAGACCGACUUCAACCAGAUGUAGCCGAGUUGACUAGCAUCACCAGAUCUUGGAUAUGCUAAUUGGCAGGCUUGUUUUUUAGACUUCAACCGGAUCAUUCCCUUGCAACAAUGCAGCUUGAAGGGAAAAAACAAGAGAAGGAAAGACUAACUGUUGCUAUUUACUGUAAUGAGGACGGUUCGGAAAAACUUCCUUUAUGGAUUAUUGGGAAAUAUGCUAAACCAAGGUGCUUCAAGAAUGUAAACUUGAACAGUCUGAAAUGUGAGUACCGUGCUAACAAACGAGCUUGGAUGACUGGUGUUUUAUUUGAAGAAUAUGUUCGCCAACUUGAUAAAAAAAUGGUUGGAAGAAAAAUUCUCUUGAUUGUGGAUAAUUGCCCUGCUCAUCCAAAAAUUAUUGAAGGAUUACGAAAUGUUGAAUUGUUUUUUUUUUUUUUUUUUUUUUUUUUUUGCCACCAAACACA